GAUGAAGAACGUAGCGAAAUGCGAUAAGUAAUGUGAAUUGCAGAAUUCAGUGAAUCAUCGAAUCUUUGAACGCACAUUGCGCCCGACAGUAUUCUGGCGGGCAUGCCUGUUCGAGCGUCAUUUCAACCCUCAAGACCCCUUCGGGGGACUUGGUGUUGGGGACCGGCACAGGGGCCUGCCUGCUUGUCUUGCAGCGCCCUCGCCGCCCCCGAAAUGAAUUGGCGGCCUCGUCGCGGCCUCCCCUGCGUAGUAGCACAAACCUCGCAACGGGAACGUGACGGCGGCCACUGCCGUAAAACAACCCAAUUUUAUUAGAGUUGACCUCGAAUCAGGUAGGAAUACCCGCUGAACUUAAGCAUAUCAAUAAGCGGAGGA
rnacentral:misc_RNA from 1 species